UUAAGCGACUAAGCGUACACGGUGGAUGCCCUGGCAGUCAGAGGCGAUGAAGGACGUGCUAAUCUGCGAAAAGCGUCGGUAAGGUGAUAUGAACCGUUAUAGCCGGCGAUGUCCGAAUGGGGAAACCCAGUGCAAUUCGUUGCACUAUCGUUAACUGAAUACAUAGGUUAACGAGGCGAACCGGGGGAACUGAAACAUCUAAGUACCCCGAGGAAAAGAAAUCAACCGAGAUUCCCCCAGUAGCGGCGAGCGAACGGGGAGCAGCCCAGAGUCUGAAUCAGCUUGUGUGUUAGUGGAACGGUCUGGAAAGUCCGACGGUACAGGGUGAUAGUCCCGUACACCAAAAUGCACAGGCUGUGAACUCGAAGAGUAGGGCGGGACACGUGGUAUCCUGUCUGAAUAUGGGGGGACCAUCCUCCAAGGCUAAAUACUCCUGACUGACCGAUAGUGAACCAGUACCGUGAGGGAAAGGCGAAAAGAACCCCGGCGAGGGGAGUGAAAAAGAACCUGAAACCGUGUACGUACAAGCAGUGGGAGCACCUUCGGGUGUGACUGCGUACCUUUUGUAUAAUGGGUCAGCGACUUAUAUUCUGUAGCAAGGUUAACCGUAUAGGGGAGCCGCAGGGAAACCGAGUCUUAACUGGGCGUUAAGUUGCAGGGUAUAGACCCGAAACCCGGUGAUCUAGCCAUGGGCAGGUUGAAGGUUGGGUAACACUAACUGGAGGACCGAACCGACUAAUGUUGAAAAAUUAGCGGAUGACUUGUGGCUGGGGGUGAAAGGCCAAUCAAACCGGGAGAUAGCUGGUUCUCCCCGAAAGCUAUUUAGGUAGCGCCUCGUGAACUCAUCUUCGGGGGUAGAGCACUGUUUCGGCUAGGGGGUCAUCCCGACUUACCAACCCGAUGCAAACUACGAAUACCGAAGAAUGUUAUCACGGGAGACACACGGCGGGUGCUAACGUCCGUCGUGAAGAGGGAAACAACCCAGACCGCCAGCUAAGGUCCCAAAGUCAUGGUUAAGUGGGAAACGAUGUGGGAAGGCACAGACAGCCAGGAUGUUGGCUUAGAAGCAGCCAUCAUUUAAAGAAAGCGUAAUAGCUCACUGGUCGAGUCGGCCUGCGCGGAAGAUGUAACGGGGCUAAACCAUGCACCGAAGCUGCGGCAGCGACACUAUGUGUUGUUGGGUAGGGGAGCGUUCUGUAAGCCUGCGAAGGUGUGCUGUGAGGCAUGCUGGAGGUAUCAGAAGUGCGAAUGCUGACAUAAGUAACGAUAAAGCGGGUGAAAAGCCCGCUCGCCGGAAGACCAAGGGUUCCUGUCCAACGUUAAUCGGGGCAGGGUGAGUCGACCCCUAAGGCGAGGCCGAAAGGCGUAGUCGAUGGGAAACAGGUUAAUAUUCCUGUACUUGGUGUUACUGCGAAGGGGGGACGGAGAAGGCUAUGUUAGCCGGGCGACGGUUGUCCCGGUUUAAGCAUGUAGGCUGGUUGUCCAGGCAAAUCCGGAUAAUCAAGGCUGAGGUGUGAUGACGAGGCACUACGGUGCUGAAGUAACAAAUGCCCUGCUUCCAGGAAAAGCCUCUAAGCAUCAGGUAACAUCAAAUCGUACCCCAAACCGACACAGGUGGUCAGGUAGAGAAUACCAAGGCGCUUGAGAGAACUCGGGUGAAGGAACUAGGCAAAAUGGUGCCGUAACUUCGGGAGAAGGCACGCUGGUGUGUAGGUGAAGUCCCUGCGGAUGGAGCUGAGACCAGUCGAAGAUACCAGCUGGCUGCAACUGUUUAUUAAAAACACAGCACUGUGCAAACACGAAAGUGGACGUAUACGGUGUGACGCCUGCCCGGUGCCGGAAGGUUAAUUGAUGGGGUUAUCCGUAAGGAGAAGCUCUUGAUCGAAGCCCCGGUAAACGGCGGCCGUAACUAUAACGGUCCUAAGGUAGCGAAAUUCCUUGUCGGGUAAGUUCCGACCUGCACGAAUGGCGUAAUGAUGGCCAGGCUGUCUCCACCCGAGACUCAGUGAAAUUGAACUCGCUGUGAAGAUGCAGUGUACCCGCGGCAAGACGGAAAGACCCCGUGAACCUUUACUAUAGCUUGACACUGAACAUUGAGCCUUGAUGUGUAGGAUAGGUGGGAGGCUUUGAAGCGUGGACGCCAGUCUGCGUGGAGCCAACCUUGAAAUACCACCCUUUAAUGUUUGAUGUUCUAACGUUGGCCCCUGACCGGGGUUGCGGACAGUGUCUGGUGGGUAGUUUGACUGGGGCGGUCUCCUCCCAAAGCGUAACGGAGGAGCACGAAGGUUAGCUAAUCCUGGUCGGACAUCAGGAGGUUAGUGCAAUGGCAUAAGCUAGCUUGACUGCGAGCGUGACGGCGCGAGCAGGUGCGAAAGCAGGUCAUAGUGAUCCGGUGGUUCUGAAUGGAAGGGCCAUCGCUCAACGGAUAAAAGGUACUCCGGGGAUAACAGGCUGAUACCGCCCAAGAGUUCAUAUCGACGGCGGUGUUUGGCACCUCGAUGUCGGCUCAUCACAUCCUGGGGCUGAAGUAGGUCCCAAGGGUAUGGCUGUUCGCCAUUUAAAGUGGUACGCGAGCUGGGUUUAGAACGUCGUGAGACAGUUCGGUCCCUAUCUGCCGUGGGCGCUGGAGAAUUGAGGGGGGCUGCUCCUAGUACGAGAGGACCGGAGUGGACGCAUCACUGGUGUUCGGGUUGUCAUGCCAAUGGCACUGCCCGGUAGCUAAAUGCGGAAGAGAUAAGUGCUGAAAGCAUCUAAGCACGAAACUUGCCCCGAGAUGAGUUCUCCCUGAGACUUUAAGUCUCCUGAAGGAACGUUGAAGACGACGACGUUGAUAGGCCGGGUGUGUAAGCGCAGCGAUGCGUUGAGCUAACCGGUACUAAUGAACCGUGAGGCUUAACCUU
rnacentral:rRNA from 1 species